AGAUAGAUAGAUAGAUAGAUAGACAGACAGACAUACAGACAGAGAGAUAGAUAAAUGCACGAUCAAUGCUGAACUGACGUUAAAAUAUAACAAGAGUAAUUGGAUCACACUCCUCCAGGUUUUCUCAGAAAAUCAAUAGAGCUGAGCACCACCUAUCAAUGGAUGUUCCUGUUUAUGGAAAGUCAAAUGAUCCACUCCAUCAUUCACAAACAGAUCAUAUUUGCGUAUUUAAAAGUUAAAACUGACCAAAUUGCAUGAUAUUGGUUCCUUAUGCACACCAUUGCUGAUAUAUGUCCCAUGCUGCUGCUGACGAACUUCGUUAAAACAGAGAAGUGAAAAAAAAUCCAUGAAUUUACCAGUUACCAAUGCAUUAUUGCAUUAAACCUACGAGAUUCUGUUCCAUUUGAAUACCUACAAAACUGAAACCACUAUCUAAGUAAUCAAGCUAUUGUUUCAUUGCAGAUCAGACUGAUUAAUGGUUUGAACUAACGGAAGAAAACUAUGUUUUUUUACGAUUCGCUUUUUGUUACUUUGUUUUCUGUUUUUCUUAAUUUUUUUUUUGUAAGAGAUUUAUGGUUUUCA